rnacentral:rRNA from 1 species
CCAAUAGCGUAUAUUAAAGUUGUUGCAGUUAAAAAGCUCGUAGUUGAAUUUCGAGAUCAAAUUGUUGGUCGUGCCUUGGUACGCACUGGCAUUAUUGGUUUCUCCCUUCUGACGAACCAUGAUGUCAUUAAUUUGGUGUCUUGGGGAAUCAGGACUGUUACUUUGAAAAAAUUAGAGUGUUUAAAGCAGGCUCACGCUUGCAUACAUUAGCAUGGAAUAAUGAAAUAGGACGUUUGAUUCUAUUUUGUUGGUUUCUAGGAUCGACGUAAUGAUUAAUAGGGAUAGUUGGGGGCAUUAGUAUUCAAUUGUAAGAGGUGAAAUUCUUGGAUUUAUUGAAGACUAACUACUGCGAAAGCAUUUGCCAAGGAUGUUUUCAUUAAUCAAGAACGAAAGUUAGGGGAUCGAAGACGAUCAGAUACCGUCGUAGUCUUAACCAUAAACUAUGCCGACUAGGGAUCGGAUGAUGUUAAUUUUUUAAUGACUCAUUCGGCGCCUUACG